CAGGUGCAACCAUCAGAAAAGCCAAUCAGUUGCAGCUUUUGUUGCUGAUACCAACAGCAAAACAUAAUCAUAAUAAAAACAAGAUAUAUCCAAGUACAUGGAACAAUAAUAGGACUGCAUGGACCAGUUGGAUUGAAGGGUUUCCUUCCAUACUGUAUCUCUCUAUGACUAAGACAUCACCUCCACUCCCUCCACCCCCAUACCCUGCACUUUGUGAGAGAGUGUCUUGCAUUGAAUCACCUGAACUGCCAAGAAAAACUUCACCUCCUCCGUAACCCUGCCUGCUCAUGAGUGUCAUCACCUGGUGUCAACGGUUUCUGUACGAACUCUCUGUGGCUGGAAAUCUGUGACUUCAAGGCUUCUAUUGGUGGAGAAACUAAAGAGUUACAUCGAGUCUAUCUUCACAGAAGAACAUACAAAAAAAUCUUCCAGAAAUAUAAGGUGCCCAAGGGACUUGUGUAACUAAAGAUCAAAAAGUGCUGAAUAGAAACAUCUGAACAAUCUGAACAAUGACAGAUGAAGUGCAGAAUGGCUGUCUGUGAUGUUAUUGAAUAUCAUGUUAAUGCAAGUUCUUAUCUCCAUUAAUUGACAGACGUUAACUCAAUUAAACUAAACAAUGGAGAGAGAAAAGCAUACCAAAGGAUUGGAAAUACUCAAAGUACCUGUUGAAAAAACAAGUUAGUCAACAUUUUGGGUCUUAAGACUGUGCUACAGUAUGUUGAGGGGAAAGAAGUUUGAUUUGACUGUAUUUAUUCAAAAGUGGAAAAAAGAGCAAGAUACAUACAAUUUUAUUACACAGAAAGUAUUUUUCUGCUGGUUUUAUCUUCGCUGGUUACCGUCAACAAAGAUGUAUUAGUGGUGACGUUUCCAUUAGUGUUUUAUAUUCAGAGCAAUAUGAAUGCAUACUGUAAUUACUUUAGUAUUCUGCAGACAAAAACCAAUUUAAUUAUCAAAUCCCAAGAGUAAACCUUUUAGAAUAAAUGGGCUAUAAGACUCUCAAAUCACAUGUUAUGUUAUCCAUCAUGUAUUCAUAAACUGAAUCCAGAACAAUCCUCUUAAAAGCUUGCUGUAAAGACAUGGAAAUGCUGUACUGAAAUAUAUCCCUGACUACAAUAUGGAGUGAUGUAGAAAGGUUGUUUCAGAGCUAGGAAAAACCAUUUGAAAACUAAUCCUACCUCAAAUUUGAUUCAUUAUGAAUCAAAUGGAGCAGCUGGGGUUGAAAGGUGAAGAUCAUAGAAAAACUGGUCAAUAAGCAUUUGCAAAGAGGUACUAGCAAAAUGUAUGUUUACAUAAUUCCACAGAGGCCAGUAUCUUGUCACCAAGUCACCCUUUAUUUACAUGUGGAGAGUCCUUGGCUCCCUCAGAGUGUCGGGAUGUCUGGCACUCCUGUUCUUAUCUGUCAGCCAGGGCUCCCUGAUUGGACCACAUUAACAGUCGCAAUCAGGGAACGCAUUUUCUUUGAGGUCCACCUAGUUGACAUUGUUACAGAGACUAUAUAUGGCUUUGCUUUACUUUAUCUCCCAACAUUCCAUGGACUGAACUCAGAUUGUACUUUUAGAGCAACAUAAAAAUAAAGAAAUUAUUCAAUGGUUUUUGUUUUACAUCUGCCUCAGUUGGUAGCACUCUCAGAGUCACAUGGUUGGAGACUCAAAUCUCA